rnacentral:rRNA from 1 species
AGCGAACGCUGGCGGCAGGCCUAACACAUGCAAGUCGAACGGAUCCUUCGGGAUUAGUGGCGGACGGGUGAAUAACACGUGGGAACGUGCCCUUUGGUUCGGAACAACUCAGGGAAACUUGAGCUAAUACCGGAUGUGCCCUUCGGGGGAAAGAUUUAUCGCCAUUGGAGCGGCCCGCGUCUGAUUAGCUAGUUGGUGAGGUAACGGCCCACCAAGGCGACGAUCAGUAGCUGGUCUGAGAGGAUGAUCAGCCACACUGGGACUGAGACACGGCCCAGACUCCUACGGGAGGCAGCAGUGGGGAAUCUUGCGCAAUGGGCGAAAGCCUGACGCAGCCAUGCCGCGUGAAUGAUGAAGGUCUUAGGAUUGUAAAAUUCUUUCAGCGGGGACGAUAAUGACGGUACCCGCAGAAGAAGCUCCGGCUAACUUCGUG